GCCACCACGAACCUUUAAUAACAGGGAAAAAUCCGUGUCUGUGAAGCACAGGAACCCGGGGUCUGCGCUAGUGUGUGAGAUGAUCAAGGACGAAGCCUGACGCACAGAAAGGCCUUAGAAUCGCCAAGCGGUGCAAGGCAGAGAAGCAGCAGGGCAACGGGGCUCCGGGCCCCGCCUUCCUGGGAAGAUGUGGCUGUGACCAGACACGGCUGCGGCAGGAGGCUGCACACCUACCAGGCCAGACUGAUGCCGGUGAUCUGGAAAAGGAGGCUCUAAGGCCAAACCCGCCAGCCGCUGAUUUAAAAAACGGUACCACGUGAGAUUACUCAUCAGACGGCUUUCUACUUCCUUGAAAUGUUCACUAACGAGGAUCUUAUUCUGGUUUUCACCACGUCUUAUAGCAAUGCUUUUGACUAGAUGAAGCCAACAUUUUGGUCUUGUUCUAAGGAGGCUAAUGAUGAGGUAUAUUUCACCCAACAUUUUGUAACAGAGAAAUGCUCUGUAUUCUUUAAAAGUCCUCAAAAGCUAUUUUUUCUAAUGUUUUUCUAUUAGAAGUCAGAAACUAUUAAAUGCCAAAUUUGGAAGGUACCUUAAAGCAGAGUUUUAGACGAAAAAUGUAACUGCUGUUUAAAAGCAUUCCGAGGUAGAAAUUUCCCUCGGGUUUAAAAAUGUAUAGUGUUUUAACACCCAAACUACCAGCAUCUCUGGUAGAAGAGAAGCAACUCAAGGGGAGGCCCUGGUGCUUCCUCGCUCCACCCAUGACGGGCCUGAGGCUGGAGGCCACCUGCCUGCAGUGACCAGUGCUUUGGGCCCGCAGCUUGGGAGCCUGCGGGUGGCCUGGCGCUGCCGGCCCGAGGCAGAUCCUCCCAUGUGGCCCGAGGGCAGGACGGAGACCUUAAUUUCACAUUGACAAGCUCGGUGCCCUGCGGUCCCCCCCAGGGCAUCUGGGGACAAGCCACCAGCGCCUGAGGAUGCAGGGCUGUCCCCUGGGGUCCCGCAACGGGCCAGAUUCAAGACACAAAGAAACGGUCGCGGGCAUUAGAAAACCCGGACAGUGUAAGAACAUGGACUUGUUAGAGCCAGUUUAUUAAAAUCUGCUUUUAUUACACAUUUCAAAUAUGCUCAGUGACCUUAAAAUACAUGACAUACCUAUGUCCGCCUCCCCCCACACCAGGCCUGCAUUGUCGCUUCUCAAGGGACAGCACGACCGAGGGCUCGGGCCGCGCGCGCCUCCUGGAGAGGAGGCAGUUUCUGAAGCCGAACUCUCAGGAGUCGCGCUCCAAGGUCCUUUCUGCCCCUAAUGAGCCCAGAACUGCACACUGACUCUUCAGAAAAAGUCUAGAUGCUUCUGGUAACUUAGAAUCUGUUCAUUCUUCACAGCUGUGCUGCUCAAGGUGAGAGGCCAAGACGCUCCCUGGUCACGAGGUCCCCCGUGUGCCCGUCUCCCCGCCCACAUAGCACCGGCCUCCCAGAUGGGCCAUCCGACACGGAGCAGCUGGUGGACCGACCGGUCGCCGAAAAGUUUCUGCAAAACCUGACUUUGUUACUGUGUGGGUUUUUUGGUUUUUUUUUUUUGGUUUUGCUCUUUAGGGCUGCGCUCGUGGCAUAUGGAGGUUCCCAGGCCAGAGGUCAAAUCAGAGCUGCAGCUGCCAGCCUACACCACGGCCACAGCAACACCGGAUCCUUAGCCCACUGUGCGAGGCCAGGGAUUGAACCUGCGUCCUCAUGGGUACUAGCUGGAUUCGUUCCUGCUGAGCCACAGCAGGAAUUCCUUGACUUUGUUUUAAACAGGAGGUGACACUUGAGGAGGCGUCAGCACUGAAGCCUCACGUGAUGAGGAGCUGCAGACAGGCCGGCCAGGCUCAGGGGCCCUCCCAGGGGAGACCACAGCCCAGCAGUAACCUCUCAGCAAUGAAUUCCCGCAGCAGGGGGCCCCUCCACGGAGGUCGAAAGUCAUGAUGGGACGCCGUCAUUGUAACAUGGCUCCAUCUGUAUCUGCAGGUGUGAUCAACUGAGGACCAAAUAUGCUUCCGGAAAAAAUCCCGGCAAGUCCCGAGAAGCAACACUGAAUUUGCUGCUCUGGCAGCUACUCCCUCAGCACCCACGCCGUGUCGGGGUGCAACGCGGGGAUGUCACGGCCUGCACGGGAGCGGGUGCGCGGGUGACAGGCCCGCACCGCAUGGUCUCGUACGAGGGAGAGUCUGGAAGGAGGCAUCCUGCUCUCUCUGGGGCCCUGGAACUAAUCCCUGUUGGACUUACUGCCUCCCAGAAACAGUCAACUCAGAUUUAGUGACCAGAUGAAACAGUGCCAUAAAUGAACACCAAAGGUUUAUUAAUUCUCGGCUACAGGAGAGCGUCAGCAGUCCCGUCUCCUUCCAAGCUGGCCAACACGGAUGCUACGAGGGCCAGCCAAGCAAUCUCUGGGGAGACGUUUUUCAAGACGCCCGGGCCACGGAUCCGAAUGCACGGCGGCCAGGCCGACCUGGACGUCGGGUCCUGGGGCCACAGCGGGCUUCGCCCUCGCCGGCUCGGUGAGGAGCCUCGCGGUGUGCGAGAGGUCGCCGAGCUCCUCCUGCCACCCAGACGAGCCGGGUGGGUCUGCGUUCGCUCGGCUGCGGCUGCGGCUGCGGGGGGCGGGGGCGGGGCGCGUGGCAUCAGGAGCGCCCGCCUCCUUGCAGCCGCUUUCGGACAUUCCUAUUCCUCAGGUCCCGCGAGUCCGCGCUGUGCAGUGGGGCCGGGCGGGCGCGCACUCGGAGCCACAGGUUGCAUCAUGUUCGGGAACUCUCGGGCCCGGAAGCUCUCACCCCACGGUCAGGGCGAGCGGGCCGGGCGCGGCUCCCCCGGAGGUUCUUGCGUCCCAGCUCGCGAUCCCAGGCGUCCUGAGGAGCAGAGUGGCUGCCACGUGCCAGCAGGGGACAAGAGAGGAAGUCGCCCUCAGGCCGGAGGCUCAGCUGCUUUUAUUUCCUAUCUUUCAAUUCUCUUCUUCGAAUCUCUGUGAUAAAAGAAAAAUCUCUCCUAAUAGCAGAGCAAGAGGCGGCUCCGGUCUGGAGGGUUGGAGGUCCGGCUGCAGGUACGAGGCCGGAGGGCGGCGUGAGGCACAGACGGCGACCCCGAGGACCCGGCGCCCGGGACCCACGGCAUCGGCAGAAACCGUUUCUGCUCCACUUUUGAACUAGGAUGUCACGAGUCACGUUUACACAAAACCCGGCUCAAACAUAAGGUAAAAGAGCAGCUCAUCCGAGGGGUCCCGGCUCCUGCUUGGGGCUUCCUCCUGCCGUGCGCUUGUCCCUGUCGUGGGGCUGUGGGCCAGACGGGAAGUGGUGUGGUCACCUGCGCCCAGAGGGGACGUCGCUCGGGCAGGACUCCCAACCGGUUCCCAGCGUUGUCUUGCAUUUCCUUCUGAGGAAACGAGGCCACUCCCUUGUUCAAAGACAUGGGUGUCCCGACCACACCACGGUCACACUCGGGCCCUGUGCCCCGAUGACGCCUUCCGGGUGGGUCCUCGCUGAGUGACACGCUCGGUGUCCUUGUCCUAAUAAAGGACGCCCUUCGUCUGAAGCUUGAGGCGCUCACGGGUCUUCUGAACAGCCGAGCGAGGGAAGCAAGGUUCCAGACAAACUGUUCAAACAAAGCGCAAAGGCUGCAGGCGGCCUCCCUCGGGCGAGAACACGCUUGGGACGGAAAGGCCGCUCAGGUUUGCCCCCUGCUGGCCACCCCUGCAUCAGGGGCGGAAAUGCUUUUGAGUGGAUUCUUGAAAUCUGGUUUAUCACUGAGGUGCCACCAGCUCAUCCCCAAGCGGGGGGAUGCCAGGCAGCGGCAGGUCAGUCAGUCGGACUGGGGUUAAUACGUGGGGGACACUGCUAUGACCUCUUGUUCCCUCUUCUGAGUUGGGAGGUGCCUGCCCACUGCAGGCUCCCGAGGAGUCUGUGCCCACUGAGCCCUUCCUAGAGGCUGCCGGGCACCUCCCACCCUGCUGCAUGGGGGCCGGGUGCCCUAAGACCCCAGGGAGAGCCCAGCCCUGGCCCCAGAUGCCCACUGCCCGGUGCAUCCCGGGAGAGCCCUGGGGCUGGAGGGACGCGGGCAGCUGGGGGAGGCGGCUGAGCGGGGAGUCCCGUUUGGACUCCAAGGAGCUGCUACAGUGUGGGUCAGAGGUUUGACGGGUGGCCUCCCCCUACGGGAGAAAAGGCAAUAAUGGCCUCAUUUCGGAAUUAAGAAGCCAGCAGCACGCGUUCUGGGCACAGGAGACGCCAAGGACCACGUGGUCCAGCCCUAGCUGCACACAGCUGCCCUCAGCCCAGAGCAGCAGGCCUCAGGCUCCCUGCGCCCACCUCUGCGUGCGGAGCCAGGGCCCACGGCAGGCCCCGGGGGAGGACGCGGAGCAAAGCGAGGCACGUCCCUGGGGCCUCAGGUAGGGCGUCUCCACUCACAGCUGCCCCAGACGGUCAGGCGCCCGUGGCCUGCUGGCUGCUCGGAGCCCAUGAAGACAGAGGCACGGCUGGAGAGAGAUGUGGCGUUUCCGGGGCUCGCUUGACACAAGAUGUAAAUCGAACCCGCAAGCCAGCAGAGGGAAAGGAAGCCGGAAGGCCCACUGAGAGCCACAGCUGAGCCCUGAUUUUACUGCACAAGCAACUGAGACGUCUGGUUAGCACACGGCCGCAAGUGUACAGACGGCAACCGCAAAGGGAGACGGACUUUCCGGGCCACAGACCAGGCGGCCUCCGUGUCUCUUUAAAGAAUGAACAAGUUCAGACGCACAGGAGACGCAGCUCUUGCCCCGUUUCCAGGCAUGAGCCGCCCUCGCGCCAGAGGCGGACUGGGCCGGGUGCGGCGGGCGGGGCUGCGGCGGGGCCAGCAGGGCCAAGCGGGGCUUCAGGACAGGGACUUUGGGACGCCCCGGCCAGGCCACCGCGUGUGAGGACAGACACAAGUCUUGGUUCUAAGGAUGGGUUUCUUCUGCGAUGCUCCAUGAACCAGGAGGGCAGAGCGAGCAGGAGUGACCACACGGGACGGGCACCGAGUGUCCGUCACCGCAGGCACGGCAGGUGCACCGCCACCGCCCACCUGGUGCCCCCAGCGACUCGGGGGGCCGCAGCGAAAGCCACAGCGCGUCCGCCCCAAGGGAAAAGGACCCCGGCGUGGCCGCCCUGGGAAACCCUCCGCCACCACUGAUGCUCUGAGGAGCCUGCUGCUGGAGAAAGGGGCCCUGACCUAAUCCCGCGUGGAGAGAAGCAGAAACAGGACCCGCCAGGACCGGUUUUAGUACAACCGCACUGGGGUGCAAUGCUGCCGCUGGUAGUGUCACACGCCGGCUUCUGUGGAAGGCCUGGCCCUUGGAAAACGCAAUGCAAAGCAGACUUACGACUAAUAAAUAAGUACUCUGCAAAGCGGAGCACCACAAGCGGCCGCCUCAGCGGGCCAGGAGGUGCUGGCUCUGGGGGCCUUGCAGUGGGGCCACUGCUGCAGAGCUGCUGCCGCGGCCACACCAACAGGCUGGGCCAGAGUGGGGGGACGGCGCUGGGGCGCCCCUCCCGGGAGGAGGGGGAGGCACCAAGAGGAGUGCGUCCCCAGGUCCCCGGCACUUCGGCAGACAGGCUCCUGAGGCAGGAAGGGCUGUCCAAGUCGCCGUAUUCAAAUCGGAGCGCUUGCCCUGUGGUCCAGGUACUGUCACUACCUCACGUCCGUCAAAGACAAGGCCACGCGGCCCUCGGCAAACCCAGGAGAGGCCCGCCGCUGGCGCUCGGUCGGAAUGGCCGUGGAUGCUUUCGUAUUUACCGCGAGCCACACCCUCGCCAGAGAGCACGGGUCUCUGCUGGGGCUGCAAGCAGAAGGCCGUGGCUGUGGCGGGAAGAGAGCGCCCCCAGGCCCCUCAAAGAGCCCAACACCCCUUUAAGAAGCACCUUGGUCAGAAGGGACAAGCUGGAGGCAGACAUGCCGUGAACGUGCUGGGACAGGAAAGUUCUUCUCAGGUUCGCACAUCUCACCGCAAAGCUCACCCAGAAUCUGAACACAGUGCCCUCACCGCAGCGUCCACACAGCGUGCGGGACGCGGGUUCGGUGCAGGGCGGUGCUGCUCCUCUCAGAGGCGCUGCCCCUCAGGGUGGCGGGAGCGGGGUCAGGGGCAGCGGGCUUCUCCACGAGCUGCUGGCACCAAAAGGAGGGACACGGUGCCGCGGGGCAGGGCACCCACAGACCUGGCUGUGCCCGGGCUGAUGGGAACGUCAGGCAGCCAGGCAGACCUCAGCGUGUGCGACACCCUGGGUCGUGUGUCUCGGGGGUGAGUCUGCCGGGGCUGGCAGGGUGUCCUGAUGGUUCCGAGACGCACCGGGGCCCCUGGCUGGGUGACAGAAACAGCCCCGGAGAAGGCGUGCAGCCGGGCCACCCGGGCACCGCAGGGCAGGUGCUGGCCUCCUCCCCCGUCCUCUUCCUGCUGCUGUUUCGAAAGCUUUCUGAACAAAAAGCUAAAAAUCAUCUUGGGAAAAUGAAGUUUCACUGAACCAAUGAAAUAAUAACCCUCUCCUGGGAAGGCCCGGAAGACGCCCGCGACAGAACGUAUGCGGAUUCCGAGGCGAGCCCCACGUGACAAGGCCCCACGUCCCGCGGCCCGGCUGCUCAGCGGCUAGGACCCACCCGCAUGCGACCACCUGCCCAGACGCCAAGCCAGGCUCCUGGGGACGAGAGCAGGACGACAACCCUGUUGACCGAGAGGUGUCAGCACGGCCAGGAGGCGGGGACUGAACCCGCCCCUGGGGUUCGGGAGAGUGUCCACAUCCACUGCCCCCACAGGACCCCUUUCUGAGAGACACGAAAGCCCAGACAGACGACCCGACCCGCUGUUCCCACCAGUGACUCGCGACUAGGCCACACUCGCUGUAGCCGCAGCACCUCUGCAGCCACUGACUGCGGCCCGCGAGGACCCCGGCCUGCGCCCCUGGCCCGGCGGACACAGCAUCGCUGAGGCCGCUGUGAGGCUGGAACGUCCCGGUGAGCUCAGUUCAGCCGAAGCCCCUCAGACUCAGCCGCCACGGACGAGGCGGGGGACACCCGUCGGCACAUCCAAGAGGAAAACCAACCUCUCAACGUGCUGCGGCAGCGAGACGUCAGACCAGAGAUGACGCACAGAACCCAGCCCGCGGGCUCGCCGACAAAUCCCUGCCCGCGCAGGCCCGGGCCGCACUCGAGGGACCCGGCGUUGGCACGGCCUCCGCCCCAUGGCUAGACGCCCAGAAGGAGCGAGACCUUCCCCACGGCCUUGGGACAGUGUCCGCGACGGUCCGUCAGGAACGGCCAGCAGCCCUCCGGAAAAGG